CAGCACCUCAAGUGGUCAGGAUGAUUAUUGGGCCUAAAGCAUCCGUAGCCGGCUCUGUAAGUUUUCGGUUAAAUCUAUACGCUCAACGUAUAGGCUACCGGGAAUACUGCAGAGCUAGGGAGUGGGAGAGGUAGACGGUACUCGGUAGGAAGGGGUAAAAUCCUUUGAUCUAUUGAUGACCACCUGUGGCGAAGGCGGUCUACCAGAACACGUCCGACGGUGAGGGAUGAAAGCUGGGGGAGCAAACCGGAUUAGAUACCCGUGUAGUCC
rnacentral:rRNA from 1 species